rnacentral:rRNA from 1 species
AGUGAACGCUGGCGGUAGGCCUAACACAUGCAAGUCGAACGGCAGCACAGUAAGAGCUUGCUCUUACGGGUGGCGAGUGGCGGACGGGUGAGGAAUACAUCGGAAUCUACUUUUUCGUGGGGGAUAACGUAGGGAAACUUACGCUAAUACCGCAUACGACCUACGGGUGAAAGCAGGGGAUCUUCGGACCUUGCGCGAUUGAAUGAGCCGAUGUCGGAUUAGCUAGUUGGCGGGGUAAAGGCCCACCAAGGCGACGAUCCGUAGCUGGUCUGAGAGGAUGAUCAGCCACACUGGAACUGAGACACGGUCCAGACUCCUACGGGAGGCAGCAGUGGGGAAUGUUGGACAAUGGGCGCAAGCCUGAUCCAGCCAUACCGCGUGGGUGAAGAAGGCCUUCGGGUUGUAAAGCCCUUUUGUCGGGAAAGAAAAGCAGCAGGUUAAUACCCCGCUGUUCUGACGGUACCCAAAGAAUAAGCACCGGCUAACUUCGUG